rnacentral:rRNA from 1 species
CUAAGUGCUUCCAUAUCUAGUUCUGGUACGGGCAUCUUAUAGUCAUCCGGUGACCAUUGGCGAGCCAUUUUGAGAAUCACGUCAGCACCAACAGAUGCUUCACGCUUGAGGUCGCGAGCGAUACAGUUUUCCACACUAGUGUUAAAUUCUAUGACACUAACGGUCACUGGGUUGGU